UUAGUGGUGAAAUCCCAGAGCUUAACUCUGGAACUGCCAUUAAAACUUUUCAGCUAGAGUAUGAUAGAGGAAAGCAGAAUUUCUAGUGUAGAGGUGAAAUUCGUAGAUAUUAGAAAGAAUACCAAUUGCGAAGGCAGCUUUCUGGAUCAUUACUGACACUGAGGAACGAAAGCAUGGGUAGCGAAGAGGAUUAGAUACCCUCGUAGUCCAUGCCGUAAACGAUGUGUGUUAGACGUUGGAAAUUUAUUUUCAGUGUCGCAGCGAAAGCGAUAAACACACCGCCUGGGGAGUACGACCGCAAGGUUAAAACUCAAAUGAAUUGACGGGGACCCGCACAAGUAGUGGAGCAUGUGGUUUAAUUCGAAGAUACGCGCAGAACCUUACCAACACUUGACAUGUUCGUCGCGACUCUAAGAGAUUAGAGUUUUCGGUUCGGCCGGACGAAACACAGGUGCUGCAUGGCUGUCGUCAGCUCGUGUCGUGAGAUGUUGGGUUAAGUCCCGCAACGAGCGCAACCCUCACUUUUAGUUGCCAUCAUUAAGUUGGGCACUCUGAAAGAACUGCCAGUGAUAAGCUGGAGGAAGGUGGGGAUGACGUCAAGUCCUCAUGGCCCUUACGUGUUGGGCUACACACGUGCUACAAUGGUAUCUACAACAGGAAGCAAGACUGCGAGGUUAAGCAAAUCCUUAAAAGAUACCUCAGUUCGGAUUGCACUCUGCAACUCGAGUGCAUGAAGCUGGAAUUACUAGUAAUCGUGGAUCAGCGUGCCACGGUGAAUGCGUUCCCGGGUCUUGUACACACCGCCCGUCACACCAUGGGAGUUGGUUCUACCUUAAGGCAAGGUUUUAAACCCUUGACCACGGUAUAGUCAGCGACUGGGGUGAA
rnacentral:rRNA from 1 species